AGCAGCCGCGGUAAUUCCAGCUCCAAUAGCGUAUAUUAAAGUUGUUGCAGUUAAAAAGCUCGUAGUUGAAUUUCGGGAUCAAUUUGCUGGUCGUGCCUCUGGUACGUACUGGUAUUAUUGGUUUCUCCCUUCUGACGAGCCAUGAUGUCAUUAAUUUGAUGUCGUGGAGAAUCAGGACUGUUACUUUGAAAAAAUUAGAGUGUUUAAAGCAGGCAUUAGCUUGAAUACAUUAGCAUGGAAUAAUGAAAUAGGACGUUUGAUCCUAUUUUGUUGGUUUCUAGGAUUGACGUAAUGAUUAAUAGGGAUAGUUGGGGGCAUUAGUAUUCAAUUGUCAGAGGUGAAAUUCUUGGAUUUAUUGAAGACUAACUACUGCGAAAGCAUUUGCCAAGGAUGUUUUCAUUAAUCAAGAACGAAAGUUAGGGGAUCGAAGACGAUCAGAUACCGUCGUAGUCUUAACCAUAAACUAUGCCGACUAGGGAUCGGAUGAUGUUAAUUUUUUAAUGACUCAUUCGGCGCCUUACG
rnacentral:rRNA from 1 species